rnacentral:misc_RNA from 1 species
GAUGAAGAACGUAGCGAAAUGCGAUACGUAAUGUGAAUUGCAGAUUUCAGUGAAUCAUCGAAUCUUUGAACGCACAUUGCGCCCGCUAGUAUUCUGGCGGGCAUGCCUGUUCGAGCGUCAUUUCAACCAUCAAGCCCUAGGCUUGCGUUGGAGCCCUGCGGCUGCCGCAGGCUCCCAAAUCCAGUGGCGGGCUCGUCGUCGUACCGAGUGCAGUAAACAUCCGCGCUCAGGGAACGUGACGGGUUCUUGCCGUGAAACCCCCCACAUAUCAAGGUUGACCUCGGAUCAGGUAGGAAUACCCGCUGAACUUAAGCAUAUCAAUAAGCGAGGA